UCAGUUUCUCAGAUUGGGUUCAGAUGACAGUUGACCAGUUGACUUUGGGUUUCAGAUGGUUGUGAUCAGAGUUCGAGCCGAAGCUUCGAUCCUGUGUCCAGAUAUGCACAACUUGCCAGUCGUGUCUGCAUCAUGUGCAUCAUAGCAUGUUUAUUUUUCAAAAGAAACACAAUCAACAAAAAAAAAGAAUCAAUAAAAAAAUUGAAAAAAAAAGAGAAAAAAAAAUGAUCUCUGCAUGCAUAUCAUUUCUCAGGUACAUUCCAGAGUCUGUUCAACUGAUAGAUCCGGGUGCUCAUUUACAGAUGAAAUUGUUGGUUUCAUUCGGUACUCAUUGCUCUUGUAUACUGUGUCGUUGUUGCAGAUUGCUUUUUUUUUCGAAGAUGAAUCAGGCUCUUUGAAGGCCUGAGAAAUGAUCAUUAUCAUGUGCAUCAUAUGCAUUAGCAUCAUAAUCAUAACAUGUUGCAUAACAGGUGUUCUAG
rnacentral:lncRNA from 1 species